UUAAAUCACUUAGAUCUGAUCGAGGUGGUGAAUAUUUGAGUCAAGAGUUUCGUGAUUGUUUAACAGAGAAUGCGAUUCUCAACAAUGGACUUCACUUAGAACACCACAACACAAUGGAGUUUCAGAAAGGAACGGUCCAUGAUGAGUCUUGCAGAUUUACCACUAUUUUUUGGAAAAUACCUUGCAAACUGUGAUAUAACUU
rnacentral:lncRNA from 1 species